rnacentral:rRNA from 1 species
AGUGAACGCUGGCGGUAGGCCUAACACAUGCAAGUCGAACGGCAGCACAGUAAGAGCUUGCUCUUACGGGUGGCGAGUGGCGGACGGGUGAGGAAUACAUCGGAAUCUACUUUUUCGUGGGGGAUAACGUAGGGAAACUUACGCUAAUACCGCAUACGACCUACGGGUGAAAGCAGGGGAUCUUCGGACCUUGCGCGAUUGAAUGAGCCGAUGUCGGAUUAGCUAGUUGGCGGGGUAAAGGCCCACCAAGGCGACGAUCCGUAGCUGGUCUGAGAGGAUGAUCAGCCACACUGGAACUGAGACACGGUCCAGACUCCUACGGGAGGCAGCGGUGGGGAAUAUUGGAAAAUGGGCGCAAGCCUGAUCCAGCCAUACCGCGUGGGUGAAGAAGGCCUUCGGGUUGUAAAGCCCUUUUGUUGGGAAAGAAAAGCAGCAGGUUAAUACCCCGCUGUUCUGACGGUACCCAAAGAAUAAGCACCGGCAAACUUCGU